GAUGAACGCUGGCGGCGUGCCUAAUACAUGCAAGUCGAGCGAACAGACGAGAUUGCUUGCACUCUCUGACGUUAGCGGCGGACGGGUGAGUAACACGUGGGUAACCUACCUAUAAGACUGGUAUAACUUCGGGAAACCGGAGCUAAUACCGGAUAAUAUUUAGCUUCGCAUGUAGCAAUAGUGAAAGACGGUUCUGCUGUCACUUAUAGAUGGACCCGCGGUGUAUUAGCUAGUUGGUGAGGUAACGGCUCACCAAGGCAACGAAACAUAGCCGACCUGAGAGGGUGAUCGGCCACACUGGGACUGAGACACGGCCCAGACUCCUACGGGAGGCAGCAGUAGGGAAUCUUCCGCAAUGGACGAAAGUCUGACGGAGCAAUGCCGCGUGAGUGAAGAAGGUUUUCGGAUCGUAAAACUCUGUUGUAAGGGAAGAACAAGUACGUUAGUAACUGAACGUACCUUGACGGUACCUUACCAGAAAGCCACGGCUAACUACGUG
rnacentral:rRNA from 1 species